GAUGAACGCUAGCGGCAGGCCUAAUACAUGCAAGUCGAACGGAAUAUAGUUUUCGGAUUAUAUUUAGUGGCGCACGGGUGAGUAACACGUACAUAACUUACCCUCAAGAGGGGGAUAGCCUUGGGAAACUGAGCGUAAUACCCCAUAGUAUUAUUGAACGGCAUCGUUUGAUAAUUAAAGCUACGGCGCUUGAGGAUAGAUGUACGUCUGAUUAGCUAGUUGGUAAGGUAACGGCUUACCAAGGCGACGAUCAGUAGGGGGCGUGAGAGCGUGGCCCCCCCANACGGGUACUGAGACACGGACCCGACUCCUACGGGAGGCAGCAGUAAGGAAUAUUGGUCAAUGCCCGGAAGGGUGAACCAGCCAUGCCGCGUGAAGGAUGACUGCCCUCUGGGUUGUAAACUUCUUUUGGAUGGGACGAAAAAACGGGAUUUAUCCUGGACUGACGGUACCAUCAGAAUAAGCACCGGCUAACUCCGUG
rnacentral:rRNA from 1 species